rnacentral:rRNA from 1 species
CGCGGCGGGCGGGGCGGGGGCACGGGGGGAACGCGAAGAACCUUACCUACUCUUGACAUCCAGAGAACUUUCCAGAGAUGGAUUGGUGCCUUCGGGAACUCUGAGACAGGUGCUGCAUGGCUGUCGUCAGCUCGUGUUGUGAAAUGUUGGGUUAAGUCCCGCAACGAGCGCAACCCUUAUCCUUUGUUGCCAGCGGUUAGGCCGGGAACUCAAAGGAGACUGCCAGUGAUAAACUGGAGGAAGGUGGGGAUGACGUCAAGUCAUCAUGGCCCUUACGAGUAGGGCUACACACGUGCUACAAUGGCGCAUACAAAGAGAAGCGACCUCGCGAGAGCAAGCGGACCUCAUAAAGUGCGUCGUAGUCCGGAUUGGAGUCUGCAACUCGACUCCAUGAAGUCGGAAUCGCUAGUAAUCGUAGAUCAGAAUGCUACGGUGAAUACGUUCCCGGGUCUUGUACACACCGA